rnacentral:rRNA from 1 species
AUUGAACGCUGGCGGCAGGCCUAACACAUUCAAGUCGAGCGGAUGAAGGGAGCUUGCUCCUGGAUUCAGCGGCGGACGGGUGAGUAAUGCCUAGGAAUCUGCCUGGUAGUGGGGGAUAACGUCCGGAAACGGGUGCUAAUACCGCAUACGUCCUGAGGGAGAAAGUGGGGGAUCUUCGGACCUCACGCUAUCAGCUGAGCCUAAGUCGGAUUAGCUAGUUGGUGGGGUAAAGGCCUACCAAGGCGACGAUCCGUAACUGGUCUGAGAGGAUGAUCUGUCACACUGGAAGUGAGACACGGUCCAGACUCAUACGGGAGGCAGCAGUGGGGAAUAUUGGACAAUGGGCGAAAGCCUGAUCCAGCCAUGCCGCGUGUGUGAAGAAGGUCUUCGGAUUGUAAAGCACUUUAAGUUGGGAGGAAGGGCAGUAAGUUAAUACCUGGCUGUUUUGACGUUACCAACAGAAUAAGCACCGGCUAACUUCGUG